CACAGGCAGCUCUAGUGGUAACAAUUUUUAUUGGGCCUAAAGCGUCCGUAGCCGGUUUAAUAAGUCUCUGGUGAAAUCCUGCAGCUUAACUGUGGGAAUUGCUGGAGAUACUAUUAGGCUUGAGACCGGGAGAGGUUAGAGGUACUCCCAGGGUAGAGGUGAAAUUCUGUAAUCCUGGGAGGACCGCCUGUUGCGAAGGCGUCUAACUGGAACGGUUCUGACGGUGAGGGACGAAAGUUAGGGGCGCGAACCGGAUUAGAUACCCCGGUAGUCCCUGAGCGGGCUGGCAA
rnacentral:rRNA from 1 species